CAGAUGAUGAUCUGCAUCUGCAAGUCUCCUGUGAGCUGUACUGUUAGGAGCUGUUAUAAUGCUGGAUCCGUGUUUACUUGAGGGAGAAUGUGAGGUUCAGUGAGUGCUUACAGCUUGAUUUUAUUCGGAGAUAAAGAGAAGACCCUGACAGUUGAAGCUAGUUGGUGAGAGUACACCUUCGUGGGGGAGCUGAAAUAUUCCGUGGAAGCGGCAGGCUUUAGCCAAGGACUGAAUGUGAG